rnacentral:rRNA from 1 species
AGUGAACGCUGGCGGUAGGCCUAACACAUGCAAGUCGAACGGCAGCACAGUAAUAGCUUGCUCUUACGGGUGGCGAGUGGCGGACGUGUGAGGAAUACAUCGGACUCUACUUUUUCGUGGGGGAUAACGUAGGGAAACUUACUCUAAUACCGCAUACGACCUACGGUUGAAAGCAGUGGAUCUUCGGACCUUGCGCGAUUGAAUGAGCCGAUGUCGGAUUAGCUAGUUGGCGGGGUAAAGGCCCACCAAGGCGACGAUCCGUAGCUGGUCUGAGAGGAUGAUCAGCCACACUGGAACUGAGACACGGUCCAGACUCCUACGGGAGGCAGCAGUGGGGAAUAUUGGACAAUGGGCGCAAGCAUGAUACAGCCAUACCGCGUGGGUGAAGAAGGCCUUCGGGUUGUAAAGACCUUUUGUUGGGAAAGAAAAGCAGCAGGUUAAUACCACGCUGUUCUGACGGUACCCAAAGAAUAAGCACCGGCUAACUUCGUG